UACGUAGGCAGCAAGCGUUGUUCGGAGUUACUGGGCGUAAAGGGUGUGUAGGCGGUUUCGUAAGUUCGGUGUGAAAUCUCCCGGCUCAACUGGGAGGGUGCGCCGGAAACUGCGAAGCUUGAGCAUGGGAGAGGGAAGCGGAAUUCCUGGUGUAGCGGUGAAAUGCGUAGAUAUCAGGAGGAACACCGGCGGUGUAGACGGCUUCCGGGACCAUUGCUGACGCUGAGACACGAAAGCGUGGGGAGCAAACAGG
rnacentral:rRNA from 1 species